UUCCAUUGUCUUCUUAUUUUUUGUCUGCUUGCUUUGUGAUAUUAACUAUUGAGUGUUGUCUUUUCUAGUUGGUGCAUGAUAUGUCAGCCAUAGAGAAUAGGUUUGAGGGGCUGAUGGAGCUCAAUCGGACAUGGACUGAUCGAGUUGCGACUGUCGAAGCUAAUAAGGAGGUCGCCGAUGAGCUCCUGAAGGUAGUGGA
rnacentral:lncRNA from 1 species